rnacentral:rRNA from 1 species
GAAUUGACGGGGGCCCGCACAAGCGGAGGAACAUGUGGUUUAAUUCGAUGAUACGCGAGGAACCUUACCCGGGCUUGAAUUGCAGAGGAAGGAUUUGGAGACAAUGACGCCCUUCGGGGUCUCUGUGAAGGUGCUGCAUGGUUGUCGUCAGCUCGUGCCGUGAGGUGUCGGCUUAAGUGCCAUAACGAGCGCAACCCCUCUCCUUAGUUGCCAUCAGGUUAAGCUGGGCACUCUGGGGACACUGCCACCGUAAGGUGUGAGGAAGGUGGGGAUGACGUCAAAUCAGCACGGCCCUUACGUCCGGGGCUACACACGUGUUACAAUGGCAGGUACAGAGAGACGGUCCCUUGCAAAAUGGAUCAAAUCCUUAAAGCCUGUCUCAGUUCGGACUGGGGUCUGCAACCCGACCCCACGAAGCUGGAUUCGCUAGUAAUCGCGCAUCAGCCAUGGCGCGGUGAAUACGUUCCCGGGCCUUGUACACACCGCCCGUCAAGCCAUGAAAGCCGGGGGCGCCUAAAGUCCGUGACCGUAAGGAGCGGCCUAGGGCGAAACUGGUAAUUGGGGCUAAGUCGUAACAAGGUAGCCGUACCGGAAGGUGCGGCUGGAACACCUCCUUU